rnacentral:rRNA from 1 species
UACAGAGGGUGCGAGCGUUAAUCGGAAUUACUGGGCGUAAAGCGCACGUAGGUGGCGACGUAAGUCGGGUGUGAAAGCCCCGGGCUCAACCUGGGAAUUGCAUUCGAGACUGCAUUGCUGGAGUACGGAAGAGGAAGGCGGAAUUCCCGGUGUAGCGGUGAAAUGCGUAGAUAUUGGGAAGAACACCAGUGGCGAAGGCGGUUCUCUGGGACGGUACUGACGCUGAGACGCGAAAGCGUGGGGAGCGAACAGG